rnacentral:rRNA from 1 species
UACGUAGGUGGCAAGCGUUGUUCGGAAUUAUUGGGCGUAAAGGGCGCGUAGGCGGUGUGUCACGUCGGCCGUGAAAACCUGCAGCUUAACUGUGGGCGUGCGGUCGAUACGGGCAUCACUGGAGUUCGGCAGGGGAGACUGGAAUUCCUGGUGUAGCGGUGAAAUGCGCAGAUAUCAGGAGGAACACCGGUGGCGAAGGCGGGUCUCUGGGCCGAUACUGACGCUGAGGAGCGAAAGCGUGGGGAGCAAACAGG